UACGAAGGGGGCUAGCGUUGCUCGGAAUCACUGGGCGUAAAGCGCACGUAGGCGGCUUUUUAAGUCAGGGGUGAAAUCCUGGAGCUCAACUCCAAAACUGCCUUUGAUACUGGGAAGCUUGAGUCCGGGAGAGGUGAGUGGAACUCCGAGUGUAGAGGUGAAAUUCGUAGAUAUUCGGAAGAACACCAGUGGCGAAGGCGGCUCACUGGCCCGGUACUGACGCUGAGGUGCGAAAGCGUGGGGAGCAAACAGG
rnacentral:rRNA from 1 species